rnacentral:rRNA from 1 species
UGGGGAAUCUUAGACAAUGGGGGCAACCCUGAUCUAGCCAUGCCGCGUGAGUGACGAAGGCCUUAGGGUCGUAAAGCUCUUUCGCCGGGGAAGAUAAUGACUGUACCCGGUAAAGAAGUCCCGGCUAACUCCGUGCCAGCAGCCGCGGUAAUACGGAGGGGACUAGCGUUGUUCGGAAUUACUGGGCGUAAAGCGCGCGUAGGCGGACAUCUAAGUCGGGGGUGAAAUCCCGGGGCUCAACCCCGGAACUGCCUUCGAUACUGGGUGUCUGGAGUCCGGAAGAGGUGAGUGGAAUUCCGAGUGUAGAGGUGAAAUUCGUAGAUAUUCGGAGGAACACCGGUGGCGAAGGCGGCUCACUGGUCCGGUACUGACGCUGAGGUGCGAAAGCGUGGGGAGCAAACAGGAUUAGAUACCCGCGUAGUCC